GUGAAUCAUCGAAUCUUUGAACGCAAAUUGCAAUCUCUUCGGAGAGUAAGCCUGUUUGAGGGUCAGCCUAAAAAAAAUAAACGUAGUAGCUGUUUUGCGGUGAAAUUUGUCGGUAAUUGGGUCAUCUUAAACCUUUGGGUUUUUUAAGCGGCUUAAAAUUUUCUUUACGAUUCCACGAACGUUUCUAAGAUUUUAGUUCUUACACACGUUUAAGGUAUUGAUCUUUAUUAGACGUGGCCGUUGCAUCGGAUCGCGUCUAUAACUAUUUCGUUAACUGACCUCAUACAGGUAAGAACACCCG
rnacentral:misc_RNA from 1 species